rnacentral:lncRNA from 1 species
GGGGUUUCCUGUGGGCCUCUAUUUACGGGCAGAGUUUGAAGAGCCAUAAGAAAGAAAGCAAAUCAGACGAUUAGCCCUACUUUAUUAGACCAGAUAUCCUUAUUAUCUUUUGCUUUAUCUGGAGAGAUAUAUUUGUUAUCUUCUGUCUUAUCAAGAAUGCUAGCUCGAAAAGAAGAAUCGAGUGUUAGUCAUGCUUUAUUGGAUGAGAUACAUUUGUUAUCUUCUUCUUUAUCUGCUUAUGAUAGAUUGUCAUGUAGAUUUUAAGAUUUUUUAGAUAUAAUAUUUUUUUCAAAAUAUCU